rnacentral:rRNA from 1 species
GACGUAGGAUGCGAGCGUUGUCCGGAAUUAUUGGGCGUAAAGGGAGCGUAGGCGGUCGAUUAAGUUUGGUCUUAAAGACCGGGGCUCAACCCCGGGACUGGACCGAAUACUGGUCGACUAGAGGACGGUAGAGGAAGGUGGAAUUCCCAGUGUAGCGGUGAAAUGCGUAGAGAUCGGGAAGAACAUCGGUGGCGAAGGCGGCCUGCUGGGCUCUUGCUGACACUGAGGCGCGACAGCGUGGGGAGCAAACAGG